GCAGAUAUCCUGAACUAUCUUUCCUCAUCAGAACAUGCAUUUCUGGCAAGACAGUGGCUCUCAUUCCCUGGCUUUUCCCCCCAGUUUCCCUAGAUCAGGUCCCUAUAAUUCUUUAGUGGAAGAAGCCAAAGAACAGGAAUUAGGCUAUUUAUCCUUGGAAUUCAUUUAGAAAAACUUGGUUUUUCUUGGCCAAGCACUACAGUGAAAACUAACUUCAUGUAGACAGCAUGGGCCAAAUGAGGAUGGACAGCUGACUCAUCACAGGAUGUCUGAUCUGAAAGCAUGUUGUGGUCCGCUACACACAAGAGCAAAAGAAGAGCAGGAAGGAGCUCAGUGCCAAGACCAUAGCCACAGGAAGAAAACCAGCUCUUAGGGCUGCAGCUCUAAAGACAGGCCAGGUCAUUACAGGAACGUCUGCUCCCUUAGCCUUGCCAGACAGAGGAGGGUUAAGAAAGGAACUGCUGACCCUGAUAUGCAAACUGCCACGAGUGCUUCCUGCCUUUCUAUCAGCAUCAGAUGGCUAGCGAUGGAUGGCUGUAAGAUUGAUGUAAUUAACAUUUUAUUUUCAGGGCCACAGUGCUGGUUGGGUGCACCAGACAAAUCAACCAACAGAUUAAAGAGUGA
rnacentral:lncRNA from 1 species